rnacentral:rRNA from 1 species
CCUACGGGAGGCAGCAGUGAGGAAUAUUGGUCAAUGGACGAGAGUCUGAACCAGCCAAGUAGCGUGAAGGAUGACUGCCCUAUGUGUUGUAAACUUCUUUUAUCAAGGAAUAAAACGAGGCACGUGUGCCUUGUUGCAUGUACUUUAUGAAUAAGGAUCGGCUAACUCCGUGCCAGCAGCCGCGGUAAUACGGAGGAUCCGAGCGUUAUCCGGAUUUAUUGGGUUUAAAGGGAGCGUAGAUGGGUUGUUAAGUCAGUUGUGAAAGUUUGCGGCUCAACCGUAAAAUUGCAAUUGAUACUGGCAGUCUUGAGUACAGUUGAGGUAGGCGGAAUUCGUGGUGUAGCGGUGAAAUGCUUAGAUAUCACGAAGAACUCCGAUUGCGAAGGCAGCUUACUAAACUAUGACUGACAUUGAUGCUCGAAAGUGUGGGUAUCAAACAGGAUUAGAUACCCUGGUAGUC